CGGGCUGUGGCGCAGUUUGGUAGCGCACUACGCUGGGGGUGUAGGGGUCGUUGGUUCAAAUCCAAUCAGCCCGA
rnacentral:tRNA from 1 species